AUAGGUUUAAUUCUAUCUGAUAGUAAAAUAUAUUGUGAUCCCUAUCAUGAUAUCAUCAAAACUUCUUUUAAUGGGUUAGAAUCAUUCCAACUCUGCCCAUCAAGGAUCAUCAAUCUUCAAAAUGAUGCUCGUGAGUCUUACAAUCCAUCAGUAACACCUAGCAGAAUGUAGUGGUAACAUAACAGAAUAAAAGGUAAUAAAUAUCUAGGUAUAGUUAACACAUGAUACAGUCUCUCUAUCAUGAGUUCCGACCAGAUGGCAGGUCAUGGAUGAAUUGUCAAACCUCAUUAUCAGUCAUAUGAUAGAUUCAAUUAGCUUGAGUCCA
rnacentral:lncRNA from 1 species